GACUACGUGGUAGAUAGGUCGGAGGUGUAAGUACAGUGAUGUAUUUAGCUGACCGAUACUAAUAGGUCGAGGGCUUGAUCUA
rfam:Lutispora thermophila DSM 19022 genome assembly, contig: EJ66DRAFT_scaffold00007.7